GCUAUUGAAGGAGACAGCGACACUAAUCUAUAGGCUGGGCUGCUUUCAUGCACUCUGGCUUCUUCUAAUUCUUAACAUGUCUUUGUUUAAUUCUCAGAUUCCUCCUCCUAUUUUUGCAUGGAUGUGGAGUGUGCUGUGAUCUACAUUAGCCUAAGCAAUGAGGAGCAGAGAGAGAAGCCAGAACUUCUGGGAGGCUUGGUGGAUCAUUGUCCAGUCUCGAUCACAAAGCUCCACUUAAGUGCAAAGCAUACCGGGAAUUGUCAUGCUUAUCUGUGAUUCCAAGAAGGACACCUAGUCUCCAUCCUCCAUCUUGGUGCAGAAACUGAAGAACUACACUUUUGAAUAGGGGCUGGGAUUCCCUCAGAGAAAAAAGGACUUGAAAUAACAACAAGAAAAAGGAGAGCUCAAACCCCUUGCUCCAGAUAUGCAGCACCAAAGAAGUGUUAC